rnacentral:rRNA from 1 species
UACGUAGGGUGCAAGCGUUGUCCGGAAUUAUUGGGCGUAAAGAGCGUGUAGGCGGUUUGGUAGGUCCGCUGUGAAAACUCGAGGCUCAACCUCGAGACGCCGGUGGAAACCAUCAGACUAGAGUCCGGAAGAGGAGAGUGGAAUUCCUGGUGUAGCGGUGGAAUGCGCAGAUAUCAGGAGGAACACCGGUGGCGAAGGCGGUUCUCUGGGCAUUACCUGACGCUGAGGAGCGAAAGCAUGGGGAGCGAACAGG